UUCAAAUCAACUUCUUUGAGUCUUCUUAUUACUGUUUUGAUACUCAUGUCAACUUGUCUUGUGCUCAGUAAAUGAUUAUUGAGAUUCGGAUGAAAGCGUGCGAUUUCGCAAAGAUUGAAUUCUCAAAAUAUUGGUCAUCUCUUGGCGUUGUACAUCUCUAAUUUCCAAAACCAGGCCGCCUUUUAUACUCACCAUUCUCCUUGUACCGCUUCAUGAUACGAGAAACAGUCGAUCGAUGGAUAUGCAAUCUCCGCGCAUCAACUUCUUGUCUGUAUCCCUCAUUGACUAAAGUAACAAUUUUAACAUAAACGAAUUCGGUCAAAUGCGUCAUCCCACUAAGAAAACUAUAGAAUCAAGACAUAAAUCAAUCAGAAUGUCAUUUUGACAUCAAUUGGAGCCCAUGGAAAAAAUUAACAUGAUAAAAAUUCUUGAAAUGAAAUAUGCAAAAUUUUUGUUCGAGAGUGUAGAUAUUUUAUACCACAUGGUUUCCACCCUCCUGUCAGGAAAAGGUAAAGAUUCAUCCACCUCUUCAUCACACGUGAUAUAUAGGAAGAGCUGAAAAUAUGUCAUCAACAUAUCGUUUAUUUUGAAAUUUUGACCAAUAUGAAGCCAUGGGAGUUACAGAAAUCUGUUUAUAAUAUUGAAUUCAGAAAAUUUGACUCAUAAAUGAAUUUAACUAAACGGAAUUUUUUUUUUGUCUAAAGGUGUAUAUUACCUUCACUUGAAUCAUACUCAAUGCUUUGAACUAUUGAUUUCAAUAAGGGAUUUGUGAAUAAAGAAAUAGCAUUGAAACUUA